UACGGGGGGAGCAAGCGUUGUUCGGAUUUACUGGCGUAAAGGGCGUGUAGGCGGUUCGGUAAGUGGAAUGUGAAAUGCUCCGGCUCAACCCCGGAGUACUGGCAUCCCAAACUGCCGAGCUUGAGUAUGGGAGAGGAUGAGGGAAUUCCUGGUGUAGCGGUGAAAUGCGUAGAUAUCAGGAGGAACACGGUGGCGAAGGCGCUCAUCUGGCCCAAUACUGACGCUGAGGCGCGAAAGCUAGGGGAGCAAACGGG
rnacentral:rRNA from 1 species